CCCUCCUUGUGCUUUUCUCUCCUGUGCCAUGUGAAGAACCUUGCUUCCUCUUUGCCUUCCACCAUGAUUACUCUUACUAGUUGUUUUAAUUGCUAAGACAACCCAGUUCUGCAUGAGCUACAGCCAACUUCACAAAGCCUCCGGUGCCUGGAUGUUGAGGGGCAAAUAGGACUGUUCGCUGAAGGAGCUAGAGAAUGGGAGAGAAGGUUGUAUCAGAUAGAAAUAACAGAAGCUUUCUGAAAUGAAAAUAGAAAUGUUACAACUCGCACCACGGUACUGGACUGAAACGAAGAUGUAACACAGCCAUAAUAAUUUAAAUUAAAAGCAAAUAAAUAAAGAAUAAAAGAACUUCAUUGUGAGGACCAUAGUCAUGGGAUAGCUCUGUCUUUUCAGGGAAAGUGGAGUAGAGGGACAGAGUCACCCCAGGAGAAAAAAAUGCUUAAAUUAAGACUCCCUGAGAGAUUGAAUAAGAGUAUGAUUAGUUCAGCCUUGCUUUCAUCCUCCACUUCCCCCUCCCACUGUAGACUUCAGUUUUAAUAAUGAUUAAAGAAUAAUGCCUGAAUCCCA